UACGUAGGGUGCGAGCGUUAAUCGGAAUUACUGGGCGUAAAGCGUGCGCAGGCGGUUUUGUAAGCCAGAUGUGAAAUCCCCGGGCUCAACCUGGGAAUGGCAUUUGGGACUGCAUAGCUAGAGUUUGUCAGAGGGGGGUGGAAUUCCACGUGUAGCAGUGAAAUGCGUAGAUAUGUGGAGGAACACCGAUGGCGAAGGCAGCCCCCUGGGAUGUGACUGACGCUCAUGUACGAAAGCAUGGGGAGCAAACAGG
rnacentral:rRNA from 1 species